rnacentral:rRNA from 1 species
GAAUUCCUACGGGGGGCAGCAGUGGGGAAUAUUGCACAAUGGGGGAAACCCUGAUGCAGCGACGCCGCGUGAGUGAAGAAGUAUCUCGGUACGUAAAGCUCUAUCGGCAGGGAAGAAAAAAAGUCUUUGGCUUUGGACGGUACCUGUCUAAGAAGCCCCGGCUAACUACGUGCCAGCAGCCGCGGUAAUACGUAGGGGGCAAGCGUUAUCCGGAUUUACUGGGUGUAAAGGGAGAGUAGACGGCCUGCUAAGUCUGGAGUGAAAGGGACCGGCUCAACCGGUACAGGCUCUGGAAACUGGCGGGG